GACGAACGCUGGCGGCGUGCCUAAUACAUGCAAGUAGGACGCAGUUGCGAACGGGUGAGUAACGCGUAGGUACCUACCUAUAAGCGGGGGGUAACUAUUGGAAACGCAUGCUCAUACCGCAUACUAGUAGAUGGACCUGCGUUGUAUUCGCUAGUAGGUAGGGUAAUGGCCUACCUAGGCAACGAUACAUAGCCGACCUGAGAGGGUGAUCGGCCACACUGGGACUGAGACACGGCACAGACUCUGUCGGGAGGCAGCAGUAGGGAGUCGUCGGCAAUGGGGGGAACCCUGACCGAGCGACGCGGGGGGAGUGAAGAAGGAUUUCGGAUCGUAAAGCUCUGUGCUUAAUGAAGCGGUACUUAACCAGAAAGGGGCGGCUAACUACGUGCCAGCAGCCGCGGUAAUAC
rnacentral:rRNA from 1 species